rnacentral:pre_miRNA from 1 species
GUGUGUGGUACCCUACUACAAAGAGUGGCUAUCACAUAUAAUUUAAGAUGAUUUGCACCUCUGUGAGUGGAGUAACACCUAA